GGCAGCCAUAACCCUCUAACCCAAACCAGAAAAGAUCUAAUAAACAAUUUGAGAAUUGAAAGAAAGUCGGAAAAUUUUUUAAAAAAUUUUAAAAAUUUCUUAGUCAAACAAAAAACAGUCGGUCCUACUUUCGAAAACAAAUCAAUACGGACCUCGUUUAAUUAACUUCGCACACACACACACACACACACACACACACACACACACACACACACACACACACACACACACACACACACACACACACACACACACAUCUUUA